rnacentral:rRNA from 1 species
GCACCCGCGGUAAUUCCAGCACCAAUAGCGUAUAUUAAUGCUGCUGCUGUUAAAAAGCUUGUAGUUGGAUCAAGAGCUCGACAGUGCACGGUGGCCCUGUUUAUCAUGGUGGUUCCGAUCACCAGGGUGGCAGCGGAUCAACCCCGUGCGCCAAACUGUCGACUCUAACAGACCGAAACGGUUCCCUGUGAGUAGGCUCCUUCAUUGGGGCUGAAAGCGAUCACGCAUCAACCAUAUGCAUACGGGACGUCGGUCAAAGUUACUGUGAACAAACCAGCGUGUCCAAAACAGGCUUUCGCCUGAAUGUUCGAGCAUGGGAUAACAAGGGAUCGAUUCUCUCGGUUCUUUUUGUUGGUUUUUAACCCGAGAAGGAGUAAUUCAGGCCACGGUGUCCGAGUUGGGUUCCCCUUCACCUCGGUGGAGGCCCCAAUUAGGCCGUGUCCUUACGGGAUAAAUAGGGACUGACGGGGUCGUACGUACUUCUACGUCAGAGGUGAAAUUCUUAGAUCGUAGAAAGACGAACUUCUGCGAAAGCAUUCGACAAGAAUGUCUUCAUUAAUCAAGAACGAGAGUGUGGGGAUCGAAGAUGAUCAGAUACCGUCGUAGUCCACUACUGUAAACAAUGCCGUCUCAGGAUUGAGAAGUGAACAGAAUGACUUUCACAGCACUAACCCCUGAAACGAGAAAUCAAAGAUUAUGGGUUCAGGGGGGAGUACAUUCGCAAGGCUGAAACUUAAAGGAAUUGACGGAAUGACACCACAAGGCGUGGAGUAUGCGGCUUAAUUUGACUCAACACGGGGAAUUUUACUAGGUCAGGACAAUGUAAGGAUUGACAGAUUGAGAGCUCUUUCUCGAUCCAUUGUGUGGUGGUGCAUGGCCGCUCCUGGUUGGUGGAGUGAUUUGUCUGGUUGAUUCCGUUAACGAACGAGAUCUCGACCCUUAAAUAGGUGCCCGUGUCGAAUGUAGUUUCGCCUCCGCGUACUUGUACGAUUGGAGCGGGACGAGACUGCGGGAAUACUUCUUAAGGGGACUGUGUGCGUCUCUAGCACGCGGAAGAGCGAGCCAAUAGCAGGUCUGUGAUGCUCCUAAAUGUCCUAGGCUGCACGCGCACUACACUGAUGCAAUAAACGAGUCUGAGUGCCUUCUGGCAACCUACCUGGAAGCGGGUGGGAAAUCUUUUGAACUUGCAUCGUGAUGAG